AAAGGAAUAGACGGGGGCCCGCACAAGCAGCGGAGCAUGUGGUUUAAUUCGAAGCAACGCGAAGAACCUUACCUAGACUUGACAUCUCCUGCAUUACCUCCAAAAAGGGAAAUCCCUUCGGGGACAGGAUGACAGGUGGUGCAUGGUUGUCGUCAGCUCGUGUCGUGAGAUGUUGGGUUAAGUCCCGCAACGAGCGCAACCCCUAUUGUUAGUUGCUACCAUUAAGUUGAGCACUCUAGCGAGACUGCCCGGGUUAACCGGGAGGAAGGUGGGGAUGACGUCAAAUCAUCAUGCCCCUUAUGUCUAGGGCUACACACGUGCUACAAUGGCAAGUACAACGAGAUGCAAGACCGCGAGGUGGAGCUAACCUAUAAAACUUGUCUCAGUUCGGAUUGUAGGCUGAAACUCGCCUACAUGAAGCUGGAGUUGCUAGUAAUCGCGAAUCAGAAUGUCGCGGUGAAUACGUUCCCGGGCCUUGUACACACCGCCCGU
rnacentral:rRNA from 1 species